rnacentral:rRNA from 1 species
UACGUAGGGUGCAAGCGUUAAUCGGAAUUACUGGGCGUAAAGCGUGCGCAGGCGGUGAUGUAAGACAGUUGUGAAAUCCCCGGGCUCAACCUGGGAACUGCAUCUGUGACUGCAUUGCUGGAGUGCGGCAGAGGGGAUGGAAUUCCGCGUGUAGCAGUGAAAUGCGUAGAUAUGCGGAGGAACACCGAUGGCGAAGGCAAUCCCCUGGGCCUGCACUGACGCUCAUGCACGAAAGCGUGGGGAGCAACAGG